CCUACGGGAGGCAGCAGUGGGGGAUAUUGCACAAUGGGGGGAACCCUGAUGCAGCGACGCCGCGUGGGUGAAGGAGUGCUUCGGCAUGUAAAGCCCUAUCGGCAGGGAAGAAGCAAGACGGUACCUGACUAAGAAGCCCCGGCUAACUCCGUGCCAGCAGCCGCGGUAAUACGUAGGGGGCGAGCGUUAUCCGGAUGCACUGGGUGGAAAGGGAGCGUAGACGGCCAUGCAAGCCAGGGGUGAAAGCCCGGGGCCCAACCCCGGGACUGCCCGUGGAACUGCAUGGCUGGAGUGCGGGAGGGGCAGGCGGAAUUCUUGGUGUAGCGGUGAAAUGCGUAGAUAUCAGGAGGAACACCGGCGGCGAAGGCGGCCUGCUGGACCGCGACUGACGUUGAGGCUCGAAAGCGUGGGGAGCGAACAGGAUUAGAUACCCUAGUAGUC
rnacentral:rRNA from 1 species